GAGUUUGAUCCUGGCUCAGAGCGAACGCUGGCGGCACGCUUUACACAUGCAAGUCGAGCGAGAAAGCGGCUUCGGUCGCAAGUAUAGCGGCGGACGGGUGCGUAUAACGUGGAUAACCUGCCUUAAGGACCGGGACAACCUUGGGAAACCAAGGCUAAUACCGGAUAUGACCACGAUGUCUGAGGGCAACGGGGUAAAAGAUGACCGUUUACGGUUGUCGCCUUUUGAGGGGUCCACGUCCUAUCAGGUAGUUGGUGGGGUAAAGGCCUACCAAGCCAAAGACGGGUAGCCGGCCUUAGCGGGUGAUCGGCACACGGGGACUGAGACACGGCCCGACUCCUACGGGGAGGCAGCAGUGGGGAAUAUUGGGCAAUGGGCGAAAGCCUGACCCAGCGAUGCCGCGUGAGGGCACNCGAAGGCCUUCGGGUUGUAAACCUAUGUCCAAAAAAAAGGGGCAGGGGGCAAGCAAAGGGGUCUUGGGAAAUUUAAAACCCCUUUUUGGGCGGGGCUUGACUGUUAACCUCCAAGGAAGGAAGCCCCCCCGGGUUUCAAAAUCCGGUGGCCAGCAGCCGCGGUAAUACGGAGGGGGCAGCGUAGUCGGAAUACUGGGCCGGAAAAAAAAAGAGAAGANAAAAAAAAANCAAAGACGACGAGAGCAGAGUAAGAACACAACAGAGAGAAAGGAACCAAAAGAAACGACAAAGANAAGAGCAGAAGAGAAUGAAGAAGACANACAAAAAGGGGGUUUCACCCCAGGGGAAAAGGGGNUAGGGGACCUUNUGGGGGGCCAAAAAAAAGNGGGAUUAUUAUACGGGGGGGAACUUUUGAGG
rnacentral:rRNA from 1 species